rnacentral:rRNA from 1 species
AUUAGAUACCCUGGGUAGUCCACGCCGUAAACGAUGAUUACUAGGUGUCGGAGGGUCUCGACCCAUUCGGUGCCGUCGCUAACGCAGUAAGUAAUCCACCUGGGGAGUACGAUCGCAAGAAUGAAACUCAAAGGAAUUGACGGGGACCCGCACAAGCGGUGGAGCAUGUGGUUUAAUUCGAAGCUACGCGAAGAACCUUACCUGGUCUUGACAUCCCGAUGAAUACAGGGUAAUGCCUGUAGAGCUUCGGCACAUCGGAGACAGGUGGUGCAUGGUUGUCGUCAGCUCGUGUCGUGAGAUGUUGGGUUAAGUCCCGCAACGAGCGCAACCCUUAUCACUAGUAGCCAGCAUUUA